rnacentral:rRNA from 1 species
UACGUAGGGGGCAAGCGUUGUCCGGAAUCAUUGGGCGUAAAGCGCGUGUAGGCGGCUCGGUAAGUCUGCUGUGAAAGUCCAGGGCUCAACCCUGGGAUGCCGGUGGAUACUGUCGAGCUCGAGUCCGGAAGAGGCGAGUGGAAUUCCUGGUGUAGCGGUGAAAUGCGCAGAUAUCAGGAGGAACACCAAUGGCGGAGGCAGCUCGCUGGGACGUGACUGACGCUGAGACGCGAAAGCGUGGGGAGCAAACAGG